rnacentral:rRNA from 1 species
UAGGGAAUAUUGGGCAAUGGACGCAAGUCUGACCCAGCCAUGCCGCGUGGAGGAAGACGGCGCUCAGCGUUGUAAACUCCUUUUAUCAGGGAAGAACAGCAGAGAUGCGUUUCUGUGUGACGGUACCUGAAGAAUAAGCACCGGCUAACUCCGUGCCAGCAGCCGCGGUAAUACGGAGGGUGCAAGCGUUGUCCGGAUUUAUUGGGUUUAAAGGGUGCGUAGGUGGUUGAGUAAGUCUGGUUUGAAAGUCAGUCGCUUAACGAUUGAGGGUGGCUGGAUACUGCUGAACUUGAAUGCCCUGGAGGUAGGUGGAACGGGUUGUGUAGCGGUGAAAUGCAUAGAUAUGACCCAGAACCCCAAUUGCGAAGGCAGCCUACUACGGGGUGAUUGACACUGAGGCACGAGAGCAUGGGGAGCAAACA